AGCGAACGCUGGCGGCAGGCCUAACACAUGCAAGUCGAACGAACCUUUCGGGGUUAGUGGCGGACGGGGGAGUAACACGUGGGAACGUGCCUUUAGGUUCGGAAUAACUCAGGGAAACUUGUGCUAAUACCGAAUGUGCCCUUCGGGGGAAAGAUUAAUCGCCUUUAGAGCGGCCCGCGUCUGAUUAGCUAGUUGGUUGAGGUAAUGGCUCACCAAGGCGACGAUCAGUAGCUGGUCUGAGAGGAUGAUCAGCCACAUUGGGACUGAGACACGGCCCAAACGCCGACGGGACGAAGCAGUGUGGAAUCCUGCGCAAGGCGGGAAAGCCUGAAGAAGCCAUGCCGCGUGACAGAUGAACGUCUUAGGAUUGCACCAUUCUGUUACCGGUUACGAGAAUGACGGUACAAGGAGAAGAUGACACGGCUAACUUCAUG
rnacentral:rRNA from 1 species